CAUCCGCCCCCGGGAGAAUCCGGCGCAUGCGCCGGUGCCGAAGGAGCAACCGCCCCGGCAAACUCUCAGGCAUCAGGACCGUGGGCGGAAC
rnacentral:ncRNA from 2 species